rnacentral:lncRNA from 1 species
UUCCUCAGAUAAAUGUCAACUUCCUCAGCAUGGGCUCCAAAUGGCCCUGUGUGUUAUAACCCCAGAACACAUCUCAUAUACCAUUCCCCUCAUCGCUCCUUGUUGCUGCACCACACUGGCCUCAUUUCAGGUCUCUAACCAGGUGUGUCCCCCUCUGCCACAGGUCUUUUGUGUAGCUGUUCUCUUUGCCUCUCAGGCCCUGUGAUCCCCCUCUUCCCUCAGUUAACAUUUAUUCAUCCUUUAGCUCUUUGCCCAGAUUUUCUUCCUUAGCAAAAUCUUCUCUGAGACCAUGUCUGGAACCACUGUUAUACACGCUUAUGGCACUGCCUAUCUUUCUUCAAAGCAUUUAUCACAGUUUAUGAUAUUUAUUUGUGUGAUAUUUGAUUAAAAAUAGUACUUCUCCCCUCCCCCACUAAAUGAUACGCUCCAGGAGGGCAAGAACAUUGCCUAUUUUUUCUUACCAUUGUAUCCCAAACAGAGAUUGAAUACAUUUAAUAGGCUUUAAGGGGGUUAGAUAUGCAUUUUCCAAAAUCUUAGAUAUUGUUCUUUUCAGACAGAGCAAGGAAAGAAGGAUGUAUCUUCUAUUAAUUGUAGCAAACUAUUAACCAGGAAGAAGAGGAGAGAGUCAGUGUCUGAUACUCAUUUUGUUGCAAACUCAGGAUAUUUUCCCUGCCUCCUCGGGGAAACCAUCCCUGAGGUCAACAUGGCACUUGUUUCCAAGACGUGUCAUCCUUCCUGAGAUGGCCCAUUACCCUCUUCAGAGCCCUGUACUUCAGACUUGCCUCCUCUUCCAACCCUCUUUCCAAGGCAGAAACCACACCAUCUGAUUGCACAGGAAACGGGGAGUGAGAAUUCAAUGGGCUGCCACUCAUUCACUGAGUGUCACACAAUAAACAUUACUCCACAAAGCCCUUUCACAAACAGCACUUCGUCUGAUCCUCAAAACAACCCUGUGAAGCAUGCAAAGCAGACAUAACUAUUCCCAUUUUAAUAGCUGGGGAAACUGAGGUUCAAAGAGGCAAGUGACUUACUCAAGGUCACAAAGUUUGUGUGAGGCAGAGGUAGGAUUUCAAACUACAGACUCUAACACUUAGUCCAAUGCUUUUCCUUACAUUAGCCGCCCCAACAGUUCCAAUACCAGUUACUUAACCUUGGUUUUUUAAUUCCCUUAAAUAAGCACCUGUUCCUGACCCCUCCACACAUCCUCAGCCCAGUUUGCAGUCCCUACCCAGAAGUUUUCAGGUGUCUGUUCAAUGGGGCAGAGGGAGUCACAAACCGGGUCACCCUAUCAGGGAUUGGUCCCAGCCUCCAGAGUCUUUUCUGGCUUUUCCUCUGAACCACUGAGGAACCAGAAACCCCCAGAAAUAAAAACACAAAGAGAAGACGUGCCCCACCAGAGCAAGGUCCCUGCUACCCUUUCUGCCCACGUUCUGGCAGGACAACGCGAGGCCAGACGCCGGCCCCUUCCAACAGAAAGACGCGAGGAGAACAAGAGGUCGCCGCCCGCCGGCUGUCAGGGCUCCUGGGCGGGCGGCGCAAGGGAUGCGGCAGAGAUGGGCCAGAUCCCAGCUGCACCUGACCCUUGAAAACUGGGAAAGUGUCGGUUUUGCCUAUUCUGAUUUCAUUCCUUGGGAGAUGAUGUUUAAAUUCCGGGCAAACAUCCUUCGCGAUUGCAGGAGGAGGUAAAAAACUGAGGCUCAGUGAAGUUAAGCAACUUACUCAAGGUCAGGCAGUCAUGAAGCUGGGAUUCCAUCAUUCAUCUAUUAAUUCAAAACACUUUUGCUGAGAACCUAUGUAUCGUGCCCUAUGUUAGGUGUUGGGAAAACAGCAAUUAAGACAGUGUCCUUGGCCUCAUAAGCCUUACAAUCAAGUGGGAGAAAGUAAACAAGUCAUCAAACAAGAUAACCGCUAGUUAUAAUCACUACUGUUAAGUAAAUAAAGAGUUAUGUGAUCAAGAGUAA